GGAGACAUGGGGAAAUGUUGGUCAAAGGCAUAAACUUUCAGUCGUAAGAUGAAUAAGUCCUGGGCUCUAAUAUACAGCAUGGUAACUACAGGUAAUAAUACUGUGUUGUAGACUUGAAAUUUGCUAAAAGAGAAGAUCUUAAGUGUUCUUGCCACCAGACACACACACACACCCAAAAAGAUUACUGCAGGUUUCACAUCAGAAACCGUGGACCACAGAAGGGAAUGGAAGACUGUUGUUAAACUGUUGAAAGAAUUACUCAUCAUGGAACCCCACAUGGAUCCAGCAAAAAUAUCCUUCAGAAAUGAGACAGAAGGGAGAUGAUAUGAAAAGGAAACUUGGAACAUCAGGAAUAAAG